AUAUUUUUCAAUAAAAAAAAUCUGUUCUUAUCAGUUUAAUAUUUGAUAUGUCCCCUAUCUGGGGACCAUAUAUUAAAUGGAUUUUUGGAACAGGGAGAUGGAAGAAGAGCUUGCUCUGUCCACUCCACGCAUCGACCUGGUAUUGCAGUACCUCCAGGACCGGUGCACUUCUU
rnacentral:snRNA from 1 species